GGUUGGGCCAAGGUCUCUGACCUGACAAUUGUGACAAUGGGAAGUGUGACCACAGGCGUCCGUUCCCCCGGAAAAGCACGAUGACGGCUCCUAUCCAUAUAAACGGCACUGACGAGAGGAGCAGAACAGGGACAUCCACAGCCAUGCAUCUGGACUGCUCCUACCAUAAAUGGGACAACUCAGAGCAGCGCAUCUGGGAGAGGCAGUAAAGAGAUAAGGAACCUAAUGCACAGCACAUCAAAGGAGCUGGCUGAGGUGAGAAGGGACCAUGACAGACUCCAGGAGGUCUUCAGCAGGAUGCAGGACGAGUUACAGGACAUCACAGAUGUUUUUGUCAAACCACAUCACUGAGCCUCACAGCACUUGCCGGGCCUCAGCGACUCAGCGAAGGAAGGGGAGUGGCGCUGGCUGGAUGGCAGCCUCCUGUCUGUCAGGCAAGUUCCUCUUUCUUCAGCCUCUUUGGAGAGAGAACUGUCCCUUACAAUCAGCUGUUUC